UAUAUUUUAAUGUAAAAAAGAGCAUAAAAAUUUUUGGGAUUUUAAGUGAUAAGAUAAUUAUCAAAUAUAA
rnacentral:tRNA from 1 species